GCAGGGUAGCCUAGUGGUUAGAGUGGAGGGGCGGCAGGGUAGCCUAGUGGUUAGAGUGGAGGGGCGGCAGGGUAGCCUAGUGGUUAGAGUGGAGGGGCGGCAGGGUAGCCUAGUGGUUAGAGUGGAGGGGCGGCAGGGUAGCCUAGUGGUUAGAGUGUAGAGGUGGCAGGGUAGCCUAGUGGUUAGAGUGGAGGGGCGGCAGGGUAGCCUAGUGGUUAGAGUGUAGAGGUGGCAGGGUAGCCUAGUGGUUAGAGUGGAGGGGCGGCAGGGUAGCCUAGUGGUUAGAGUGUAGAGGUGGCAGGGUAGCCUAGUGGUUAGAGUGGAGGGGCGGCAGGGUAGCCUAGUGGUUAGAGUGUAGAGGUGGCAGGGUAGCCUAGUGGUUAGAGUGGAGGGGCGGCAGGGUAGCCUAGUGGUUAGAGUGGAGGGGCGGCAGGGUAGCCUAGUGGUUAGAGUGUAGAGGAGGCAGGGUAGCCUAGUGGUUAGAGUGUAGAGGUGGCAGGGUAGCCUAGUGGUUAGAGUGUAGAGGAGGCAGGGUAGCCUAGUGGUUAGAGUGUAGAGGAGGCAGGUAGCCUAGUGGUUAGAGUGUAGAGGAGGCAGGGUAGCCUAGUGGUUAGAGUGUAGAGGAGGCAGGGUAGCCUAGUGGUUAGAGUGUAGAGGAGGCAGGGUAGCCUAGUGGUUAGAGUGUAGAGGAGGCAGGGUAGCCUAGUGGUUAGAGUGUAGAGGAGGCAGGGUAGCCUAGUGGUUAGAGUGUAGAGGAGGCAGGGUAGCCUAGUGGUUAGAGUGUAGAGGAGGCAGGUAGCCUAGUGGUUAGAGUGUAGAGGAGGCAGGGUAGCCUAGUGGUUAGAGUGUAGAGGAGGCAGGGUAGCCUAGUGGUUAGAGUGUAGAGGAGGCAGGUAGCCUAGUGGUUAGAGUGUAGAGGAGGCAGGUAGCCUAGUGGUUAGAGUGUAGAGGAGGCAGGGUAGCCUAGUGGUUAGAGUGUAGAGGAGGCAGGGUAGCCUAGUGGUUAGAGUGUAGAGGAGGCAGGGUAGCCUAGUGGUUAGAGUGUAGAGGAGGCAGGUAGCCUAGUGGUUAGAGUGUAGAGGAGGCAGGGUAGCCUAGUGGUUAGAGUGUAGAGGAGGCAGGGUAGCCUAGUGGUUAGAGUGUAGAGGAGGCAGGGUAGCCUAGUGGUUAGAGUGUAGAGGAGGCAGGUAGCCUAGUGGUUAGAGUGUAGAGGAGGCAGGGUAGCCUAGUGGUUAGAGUGUAGAGGCGGCAGGGUAGCCUAGUGGUUAGAGUGUAGAGGAGGCAGGGUAGCCUAGUGGUUAGAGUGUAGAGGAGGCAGGUAGCCUAGUGGUUAGAGUGUAGAGGAGGCAGGUAGCCUAGUGGUUAGAGUGUAGAGGAGGCAGGGUAGCCUAGUGGUUAGAGUGUAGAGGAGGCAGGGUAGCCUAGUGGUUAGAGUGUAGAGGAGGCAGGUAGCCUAGUGGUUAGAGUGUAGAGGAGGCAGGUAGCCUAGUGGUUAGAGUGUAGAGGAGGCAGGGUAGCCUAGUGGUUAGAGUGUAGAGGAGGCAGGGUAGCCUAGUGGUUAGAGUGUAGAGGAGGCAGGUAGCCUAGUGGUUAGAGUGUAGAGGAGGCAGGGUAGCCUAGUGGUUAGAGUGUAGAGGAGGCAGGGUAGCCUAGUGGUUAGAGUGUAGAGGAGGCAGGUAGCCUAGUGGUUAGAGUGUAGAGGAGGCAGGUAGCCUAGUGGUUAGAGUGUAGAGGAGGCAGGGUAGCCUAGUGGUUAGAGUGUAGAGGAGGCAGGGUAGCCUAGUGGUUAGAGUGUAGAGGAGGCAGGUAGCCUAGUGGUUAGAGUGUAGAGGAGGCAGGGUAGCCUAGUGGUUAGAGUGUAGAGGAGGCAGGGUAGCCUAGUGGUUAGAGUGUAGAGGAGGCAGGUAGCCUAGUGGUUAGAGUGUAGAGGAGGCAGGUAGCCUAGUGGUUAGAGUGUAGAGGAGGCAGGGUAGCCUAGUGGUUAGAGUGUAGAGGAGGCAGGGUAGCCUAGUGGUUAGAGUGUAGAGGAGGCAGGGUAGCCUAGUGGUUAGAGUGUAGAGGAGGCAGGUAGCCUAGUGGUUAGAGUGUAGAGGAGGCAGGGUAGCCUAGUGGUUAGAGUGUAGAGGAGGCAGGGUAGCCUAGUGGUUAGAGUGUAGAGGAGGCAGGGUAGCCUAGUGGUUAGAGUGUAGAGGAGGCAGGUAGCCUAGUGGUUAGAGUGUAGAGGAGGCAGGGUAGCCUAGUGGUUAGAGUGUAGAGGAGGCAGGGUAGCCUAGUGGUUAGAGUGUAGAGGAGGCAGGGUAGCCUAGUGGUUAGAGUGUAGAGGAGGCAGGGUAGCCUAGUGGUUAGAGUGUAGAGGAGGCAGGUAGCCUAGUGGUUAGAGUGUAGAGGAGGCAGGGUAGCCUAGUGGUUAGAGUGUAGAGGAGGCAGGUAGCCUAGUGGUUAGAGUGUAGAGGAGGCAGGGUAGCCUAGUGGUUAGAGUGUA